rnacentral:rRNA from 1 species
CUGCUAUNAGAGUUCGAUUAAGCCAUGCGAGUCGAGAGGUGCAAGACCUCGGCAUACUGCUCAGUAACACGUGGACAACCUACCCUACAGAAGGGGAUAACCCCGGGAAACUGGGGAUAAUACCCUAUAGACUAUGGAUGCUGGAAUGCUCUGUAGCCGAAAGGUCCGCCGCUGUAGGAUGGGUCUGCGGCCGAUUAGGUUGUUGUUGGGGUAACGGCCCAACAAGCCUGUAAUCGGUACGGGUUGUGGGAGCAAGAGCCCGGAGAUGGAUUCUGAGACACGAAUCCAGGCCCUACGGGGCGCAGCAGGCGCGAAAACUUUGCAAUGCGGGAAACCGUGACAAGGGAACUCUGAGUGCCCGUAAAAUCGGGCUGUCCAUCAGUUUAAACAACUGGUGAAGAAAGGGCCGGGCAAGACCGGUGCCAGCCGCCGCGGUAAUACCGGCGGCUCGAGUGGUGGCCACUAUUACUGGGCUUAAAGCGUUCGUAGCUGGUCUGUUAAGUCCCUGGGGAAAUCUUC